UACGUAGGGGGCAAGCGUUGUCCGGAAUCAUUGGGCGUAAAGCGCGCGUAGGCGGCCCGGUAAGUCCGUUGUAAAAGUCAAAGGCUCAACCUUUGAAAGCCGAUGGAUACUGCCGGGCUAGAAUCCGGAAGAGGCGAGUGGAAUUCCUGGUGUAGCGGUGGAAUACGCAGAUAUCAGGAGGAACACCAAUAGCGAAGGCAGCUCGCUGGGACGGUAUUGACGCUAAGGCGCGAAAGCGUGGGGAGCAAACAGG
rnacentral:rRNA from 1 species